AGAGUUUGAUCCUAGCUCAGGAUGAACGCUGGCGGCGUGGAUAAGGCAUGCAAGUCAAACGGUCCAUGUAUUUAUAUAUGGACAGUGGCAAACGGGGUAGUAACAGGUAGGAACAUACUCAUGAGUCAGGAAUAACUGCAGGAAACUGUAGCUAAUACUUGAUGGUCCCUUCGGGGUAAAGAUUUAUCGCUCAUGAAAUGGCCUGCUUCGUAUCAGCUUGUUGGUAGUGUAAUGGACUACCAAGGCUAUGACGCGUAGGGGAGGUGAGAGCCUGACCCCCACCAUUGGAACUGCGACACGGUCCAAACUCCUACGGGAGGCUGCAGUCGAGAAUCUUCCGCAAUGCACGAAAGUGUGACGGAGCGACGCCGCGUGAUGGAUGAAGUAUUUCGGUAUGUAAACAUCUUUUAUAAGUGAAGAAGUAUAUUGACAUUAACUUAUGAAUAAGGGGUUCCUAAACUCGUGCCAGCAGGAGCGGUAAUACGAGUACCCCGAGCGUUAUCCGGAAUUAUUGGGCGUAAAGGGUCCGUAGGUGGCCAUAUUAGUCGGUUGUUAAAAAUCCAAGCUCAACUUGGGGAGGGCAAUCGAAACGGUAUGGCUUGAGUGUGCGAGAGGUAAACAGAACUCAUGGUGUAGGGGUGAAAUCCGUUGAUAUCAUGGGGAAUACCAAAAGCGAAGGCAGUUUACUGGCGCAUCACUGACACUAAGGGACGAAACCCUGGGUAGCGAAUGGGAUUAGAUACCCCAGUAGUCCAGGGCCUAAACGAUCUUGAUUAGUUUUCGGGAGUAUCGACCCUCUCGGAGACGUAGCUAACGCGUUAAAUCAAGCGCCUGGGAAGUACGAGCGCAAGCUUAAAACUCAAAGGAAUAGACGGGGACUUGCACAAGCGGUGGAGCAUGUGGUUUAAUUCGAUGAUAAACGAAGAACCUCACCAAGGCUAGACACUUUAGUCACGCCACAUACUGGAAACAGCUAGUGGAUAUUGUGCUAAAGCAGGUGUUGCAUGGCCGUCGUCAGUUCGUGGUUUGAAUUGUUCCCUUAAGUGGGGUAACGAACGAAACCCUCGUCGUGUGUUUUAUAUGUCACGCGAGACUGCCCCCUUUCUGAGUAUUAACUAUUAAUAUUUAGUAACCAGAAAGGGGGGAGGAAGGAGAGGAUGACGCCAGGUCAGCAUGACCCUUGAUGCCUUGGGCUACACACGUGAUACAAUGGAUGGGACAACGGGUCGCGACGGAGUAAUCCUGAGCCAAUCCUUCAAACCCAUCCUCAGUUCGGAUUGGGGGCUGCAACUCGCCCUCAUGAAGUCGGAAUCGCUAGUAAUCGCGGGUCAGCUAUACCGCGGUGAAUACGUUCUCAAGUCUUGUACUCACAAUAAAAGCGCGCAGCAGCGUAUAUAUCUAAAUGGUUAAAAUCCAUUUCUUUUGUAAAAA
rnacentral:rRNA from 1 species